UUAGUGGAGAAGGGGUGAGUAAUAUAUAGGAAUGUGUUUUGUAGUGGGGGAUAAUUAGUAAAAAGAUUAGUUAAUAUUGUAUAUGUGGUGAGGGGGAAAGUAGGGGAUUUUUGGAUUUUAUGUUAUAAGAGGGGAUGAUAUUUGAUUAGUUAGUUGGUGGGGUAAUGGUUUAGGAAGGAGAUGAUUAGUAGGUGGUAUGAGAGGAAGAUUAGUUAUAGUGGAAAUGAGAGAUGGUAAAGACUCCUACGGGAGGCAGCAGUGGGGAAUUUUGGACAAUGGGCGCAAGCCUGAUCCAGCCAUUCCGCGUGAGUGAAGAAGGCCUUCGGGUUGUAAAGCUCUUUCGCAAGGGAAGAAAACUUACUUUCUAAUAAAGAGUGAGGCUGACGGUACCUUGAUAAGAAGCACCGGCUAACUACGUGCCAGCAGCCGCGGUAAUACGUAGGGUGCGAGCGUUAAUCGGAAUUACUGGGCGUAAAGCGUGCGCAGGCGGUUUGGCAAGUCAGAUGUGAAAUCCCCGAGCUCAACUUGGGAACUGCGUUUGAAACUGCCAGACUAGAAUAUGUCAGAGGGGGGUAGAAUUCCACGUGUAGCAGUGAAAUGCGUAGAGAUGUGGAGGAAUACCAAUGGCGAAGGCAGCCCCCUGGGAUAAUAUUGACGCUCAUGCACGAAAGCGUGGGGAGCAAACAGGAUUAGAUACCCUGGUAGUCCACGCCCUAAACGAUGUCUACUAGUUGUUGGUGGAGUAAAAUCCAUGAGUAACGCAGCUAACGCGUGAAGUAGACCGCCUGGGGAGUACGGUCGCAAGAUUAAAACUCAAAGGAAUUGACGGGGGCCCACACAAGCGGUGGAUUAUGUGGAUUAAUUCGAUGCAACGCGAAAAACCUUACCUGGCCUUGACAUGCCACUAACGAAGCAGAGAUGCAUUAGGUGCCCGAAAGGGAAAGUGGACACAGGUGCUGCAUGGCUGUCGUCAGCUCGUGUCGUGAGAUGUUGGGUUAAGUCCCACAACGAGCGCAACCCUUGCCAUUAAUUGCCAUCAUUUAGUUGGGCACUUUAAUGGGACUGCCGGUGACAAACCGGAGGAAGGUGGGGAUGACGUCAAGUCCUCAUGGCCCUUAUGGCCAGGGCUUCACACGUAAUACAAUGGUCGGUACAGAGAGUUGCCAAGCCGCGAGGUGGAGCUAAUCUCAGAAAGCCGAUCGUAGUCCGGAUUGUUCUCUGCAACUCGAGAGCAUGAAGUCGGAAUCGCUAGUAAUCGCGGAUCAGCAUGUCGCGGUGAAUACGUUCCCGGGCCUUGCACUCACCGCCCGUCA
rnacentral:rRNA from 1 species